rnacentral:rRNA from 1 species
UACGGGGGGUGUAAGCGUUGUUCGGAAUUACUGGGCGUAAAGGGCUCGUAGGCGGCCAACUAAGUCGGACGUGAAAUCCCUCAGCUUAACUGGGGAACUGCGUCCGAUACUGGAUGGCUUGGAUUUGGGAGAGGGAUGCGGAAUUCCAGGUGUAGCGGUGAAAUGCGUAGAUAUCUGGAGGAACACCGGUGGCGAAGGCGGCAUCCUGGACCAAUAUUGACGCUGAGGAGCGAAAGCCAGGGGAGCAAACGGG